GGUUAAGCGACUAAGCGUACACGGUGGAUGCCCUGGCAGUCAGAGGCGAUGAAGGACGUGCUAAUCUGCGAUAAGCGUCGGUAAGGUGAUAUGAACCGUUAUAACCGGCGAUUUCCGAAUGGGGAAACCCAGUGUGAUUCGUCACACUAUCAUUAACUGAAUCCAUAGGUUAAUGAGGCGAACCGGGGGAACUGAAACAUCUAAGUACCCCGAGGAAAAGAAAUCAACCGAGAUUCCCCCAGUAGCGGCGAGCGAACGGGGAGGAGCCCAGAGCCUGAAUCAGUGUGUGUGUUAGUGGAAGCGUCUGGAAAGGCGCGCGAUACAGGGUGACAGCCCCGUACACAAAAAUGCACAUAUUGUGAGCUCGAUGAGUAGGGCGGGACACGUGGUAUCCUGUCUGAAUAUGGGGGGACCAUCCUCCAAGGCUAAAUACUCCUGACUGACCGAUAGUGAACCAGUACCGUGAGGGAAAGGCGAAAAGAACCCCGGCGAGGGGAGUGAAAAAGAACCUGAAACCGUGUACGUACAAGCAGUGGGAGCACGCUUAGGCGUGUGACUGCGUACCUUUUGUAUAAUGGGUCAGCGACUUAUAUUCUGUAGCAAGGUUAACCGAAUAGGGGAGCCGAAGGGAAACCGAGUCUUAACUGGGCGUUAAGUUGCAGGGUAUAGACCCGAAACCCGGUGAUCUAGCCAUGGGCAGGUUGAAGGUUGGGUAACACUAACUGGAGGACCGAACCGACUAAUGUUGAAAAAUUAGCGGAUGACUUGUGGCUGGGGGUGAAAGGCCAAUCAAACCGGGAGAUAGCUGGUUCUCCCCGAAAGCUAUUUAGGUAGCGCCUCGUGAAUUCAUCUCCGGGGGUAGAGCACUGUUUCGGCAAGGGGGUCAUCCCGACUUACCAACCCGAUGCAAACUGCGAAUACCGGAGAAUGUUAUCACGGGAGACACACGGCGGGUGCUAACGUCCGUCGUGAAGAGGGAAACAACCCAGACCGCCAGCUAAGGUCCCAAAGUCAUGGUUAAGUGGGAAACGAUGUGGGAAGGCCCAGACAGCCAGGAUGUUGGCUUAGAAGCAGCCAUCAUUUAAAGAAAGCGUAAUAGCUCACUGGUCGAGUCGGCCUGCGCGGAAGAUGUAACGGGGCUAAACCAUGCACCGAAGCUGCGGCAGCGACGCUUAUGCGUUGUUGGGUAGGGGAGCGUUCUGUAAGCCUGUGAAGGUGUGCUGUGAGGCAUGCUGGAGGUAUCAGAAGUGCGAAUGCUGACAUAAGUAACGAUAAAGCGGGUGAAAAGCCCGCUCGCCGGAAGACCAAGGGUUCCUGUCCAACGUUAAUCGGGGCAGGGUGAGUCGACCCCUAAGGCGAGGCCGAAAGGCGUAGUCGAUGGGAAACAGGUUAAUAUUCCUGUACUUGGUGUUACUGCGAAGGGGGGACGGAGAAGGCUAUGUUGGCCGGGCGACGGUUGUCCCGGUUUAAGCGUGUAGGCUGGUUUUCCAGGCAAAUCCGGAAAAUCAAGGCUGAGGCGUGAUGACGAGGCACUACGGUGCUGAAGCAACAAAUGCCCUGCUUCCAGGAAAAGCCUCUAAGCAUCAGGUAACAUCAAAUCGUACCCCAAACCGACACAGGUGGUCAGGUAGAGAAUACCAAGGCGCUUGAGAGAACUCGGGUGAAGGAACUAGGCAAAAUGGUGCCGUAACUUCGGGAGAAGGCACGCUGAUAUGUAGGUGAAGCGACUUGCUCGUGGAGCUGAAAUCAGUCGAAGAUACCAGCUGGCUGCAACUGUUUAUUAAAAACACAGCACUGUGCAAACACGAAAGUGGACGUAUACGGUGUGACGCCUGCCCGGUGCCGGAAGGUUAAUUGAUGGGGUCAGCGCAAGCGAAGCUCUUGAUCGAAGCCCCGGUAAACGGCGGCCGUAACUAUAACGGUCCUAAGGUAGCGAAAUUCCUUGUCGGGUAAGUUCCGACCUGCACGAAUGGCGUAAUGAUGGCCAGGCUGUCUCCACCCGAGACUCAGUGAAAUUGAACUCGCUGUGAAGAUGCAGUGUACCCGCGGCAAGACGGAAAGACCCCGUGAACCUUUACUAUAGCUUGACACUGAACAUUGAGCCUUGAUG
rnacentral:rRNA from 1 species